AGCUGGCAAAAGGUUGAAUAACAAACACAUGUAUAUAUUUAUCAUUAACAUGUACCAUGUAUUACAUUAUAAUGUAUUGUGUAUAAACAUGUAUCACAGAAUCUGUAAAAAUGUCUUAUAAAAGGAAACACGAAACAUAAAUUGCAAUUGAUUUGAAUUAAAGGGGCAUCCGCCACGAGUUAUACAAAUAUUGAAUCAUGAUUGUUUUUCUUGUUGAAUAUUAAUGAAAGUUAAAUAGUAAAAUACUCGUUCCCUUGAAAGCUAGUCUGGUUCAAUCACGUCGAAAUAAGGUAAGAAACAUCGCUGACGGAAUAUUCACUUGCAAGUGCAUAAUAUGGCCUAAUUGGCACCAAUAUUCCUGUGACUUCAAUUUAAACGUUCACCUAAAGAUUGGUUACGCAUAAAAUAUUAAAGGAACCCAAUGUCAGCACUGAAAGUUAAAAAGAUAAACCAUAUGGUUAACUGAUUCGAUCAUUAAAAACUCAUUCUUAUACAGCUAAAGUGAUAACUGUUAAAGAUUUUUUUAUCAUAUGACAUGCAAGCAAACAGACCUAUACAAUUGUAUUGUACGUGUUCGAUAUAUAUAUUGGUAUACAUAUAAAUGUUUCUAUCGAAUUAUACGACAGUCGCCAGUCUCCGGAGGUCAUAUCAAUGGUAAACUACAUUGCGUCUAGGCUAAAAUUCACAAGAUAUUCUGAUAUAUUUUAUCUUGCUGCAUGUAAUAUCAAAGCGUUAAGUUCUAAACUUCAAAUAAAAUUCAUUCCAGACCGUUUUGCAAUAAAUUUAUUUUAAGGAGACCUCGUCCUACACAAAACAAUAGAAUUUUUUGCAGAUCAUAACAAGUCCAUUUCAAAAAUAUCACGAAGAUAAUACGUGUAAAGUUCAUACCUUUUAAAUCGUUGAAAAAGUUCACAAGGGUCACAAAUUCAACUGAAAUCACUUCACAUCUCCCCAUUCCUAAACUGAACUUUACAUUAGGGU
rnacentral:lncRNA from 1 species